rnacentral:rRNA from 1 species
UACGUAUGGUGCGAGCGUUGUCCGGAAUUACUGGGCGUAAAGAGCUCGUAGGUGGUUUGUCGCGUUGUUCGUGAAAACUCACAGCUUAACUGUGGGCGUGCGGGCGAUACGGGCAGACUGGAGUACUGCAGGGGAGACUGGAAUUCUUGGUGUAGCAGUGAAAUGCGUAGAUAUCAAGAGGAACACCAGUGGCGAAGGCGAGUCCCUGGACAACACCUGACACUGAGGCACGAAAGCUAGGGGAGCAAACAGG